rnacentral:tRNA from 1 species
AUGGGUGUAGCCAAGCGGCAAGGCAAUGGAUUUUGGAUUCAUGAUCAUAGGUUCGAUUCCUAUCACCCAUA